rnacentral:rRNA from 1 species
UACGUAGGGGGCAAGCGUUGUCCGGAAUCAUUGGGCGUAAAGCGCGUGUAGGCGGCCAGAAAAGUCCGCUGUGAAAACUCGAGGCUCAACUUCGAGCUGUCGGUGGAAACUUUCUGGCUAGAGUCCGGAAGAGGAGAAUGGAAUUCCUGGUGUAGCGGUGAAAUGCGCAGAUAUCAGGAAGAACACCCGUGGCGAAGGCAGAUCUCUGGGCCGUAACUGACGCUGAGGAGCGAAAGCAUGGGGAGCGAACAGG